rnacentral:rRNA from 1 species
CCUUGUCCUUAGUUACCAGCACGUUAUGGUGGGCACUCUAAGGAGACUGCCGGUGACAAACCGGAGGAAGGUGGGGAUGACGUCAAGUCAUCAUGGCCCUUACGGCCUGGGCUACACACGUGCUACAAUGGUCGGUACAAAGGGUUGCCAAGCCGCGAGGUGGAGCUAAUCCCAUAAAACCGAUCGUAGUCCGGAUCGCAGUCUGCAACUCGACUGCGUGAAGUCGGAAUCGCUAGUAAUCGUGAAUCAGAAUGUCACGGUGAAUACGUUCCCGGGCCUU